rnacentral:lncRNA from 1 species
CUGUGGCUUGCCAAUGGACAGAAAUGAAGCCAACAUAACAGCUAGAAAUCUGUAAUCCAUUAGCUUGCUUGUUGUCUUUGCUACUCAGCAUUCAGUUUUGCAGACCAGUGCUUAACCAAUUGCUUUGAUAGAUUCACUUGAUUUGAUUUAGUCUCUUUCUAGAAGAACAUCUAGCAAUAAGGCCAUUCUCAAAGUAAUCUAAUAAACAUGAUAAGAGCAGCAAAUCUGCAGCCAAGCUGUCCUCUGUUAAACUUCCUACAAUCUAGUCUGGGGCAGAGAGAGGGACACUGUGACAAAGAUUUUUAUCAGGCUGCUAGGGUGGUCUGGGGACUGGUGAAGCCAGGUACCCGAAGUGGAGAGGGAAGCUUUCCUUGGCAGCCACCAGGCACCAGCUCUUAUGUAAGUUCAUAUGAGGAGCAGCUGAGGGAACUGGGGUUGUUUAGUCUGGAGUAAAGGAGGCUGAGAGGAGACAUGAAAGGAGGUUCCAGUGAGGAGGGUGUUGGUCGCUUUUCUCAGGUGCAAGUGGUAGGACAUAAGGAAAUGGUCUCAAGUUGCACAAGAGGAGGUUUGGGCUGGACAUUCGGAAGAAUUUCUUCUCGGAAGGAGUGGUUAGGCAUUGGGACGGGCUGCCCAGGGAAAUGGAGAAGUCGCCAUCCCUGGAGGUGUUUAAGAAAUGUGUGGAUGUGGUGCUUAGGUUUAGUGGCAGACUUGGUAGUGCUAGGUUGAUGGUUGGACCUGAUGAUCUUAAGGGUCUUUUCAAACCUAAAUGAUUCUAUGAUUCUUCAGUGAAGAGCAAGCAUUUUGAAAAUAGGCAGCACUGAAAGUGUCCAUUAUGGUGACAACCUGUGUCACAGCAACCUUUAAAACAUUCUGGGUGAAGAUAGCAGGGAGGGAAAGCAUCCAGAAUAUACAUAUUUUUAAUCCAUAUGAUAACCAUAUGGCCACAGUCUAACCAGGAUGGAUGGCUUUCAUUGUUUGUCCCCACUGUUUUUGUUUUGCUGUCAGCUAUUUGCUUUUUAUAAGGCACAUGGCUGUCACGACACUUUGCAGGGGCAACCUCUAUUCGUUUGAAGGUAUGGAGACCAUCUGCCUUAUUCCGGCCAUGAGCAGCACUACUAAGAAAACAAGUCAGAAGUGGAAUCAUAAUUCUCUUCUCAUGCCAAGUUUGCCAGAGGCAUCCCGUGUCAUUUUGAACAGUCUGGACACAUGCAAAAUGGAUGACUAA